rnacentral:lncRNA from 1 species
AUCAUUUCAUUGUGCGGAUAUUUGGCUCUUCAGAUCUAAAUAACAUUACCAUAUUAAUUAUAAUGAAAUCAAAUAAAGCAGUAACCACCAUUCAUUAUUCACUGCUUAUGCAUUUGUCACAUACGUAGUAAAUAGAAAUUAAAGCAACAACAUUAUUUAGAGGAUUAUAUAUCAAGCACACACUUCUUUGUAAUACGGUAGGUUCUUAGAUGUUCAUUCAUCAUCGUCAAGUCCCUUCAAAGUCCAAGACGGCUUCUGGCAACCAGGAUUCAUGCCACUCUGAGCGUGACCGUAGUUUGGGCCAGGAGCUCCAUAGCCGUGCCCAUGUGUGAGCUUUUCAAAAUGGUUCAUAACACCACCUCCAUGUCCAUUUGAAUUUCCAAAACCAUGUGAAUCUCCAUAGCUGUGUGAUUUACCAAAACCAUGUGGACUCCCUAGGCCAUGACCUUGUGGGCUUCCAUGGCCUUGUUGGCUUCCAUGGUUGAAUGAGUUUUCAUAUCCAUGUGAUUUACCAAGACCAUGUGGACUCCCUAAGCCAUGACCAUUUGGGCUUCCAUGGCCUUGUUGGCUUACAUGGCUGAAUGAGUUUUCAUAUCCAUGUGAUUUACCAAGACCAUUUGGACUCCCUUGGCCAUGACCAUGUGGGCUUCCAUGGCUGAAUGAGUUUUCAUAACCUUGUGACUUUCCAUAGCCAUGUGAAUUUCCUCCAUAUCCACCAGCAGCACUGGGCUUGACUGGAUGGCUGGGUCCAUGGCCAUGCUGGUAUUCAUCACCAGCAGACCAAGUAGAUUGGUAUUGUGAAACAUGGCUUGAUGGGUAAGUUGAAACUUGAGGAUAAGUCGGGUAUGGGGUUGUCUGGGCUGCAGUUAUUCCGUGGAAGUUGUUGUUGAAGUAGCCAUCAGCCCCUUGGUGUGUUGGAUAGUUGUUCUGCUGGUAGCCACUAGGGUAACGUUGAACCUCAAGAACCAUUUUUUUUUCUUUGAAAAAAAAAUGUACGUCAAAUUUAAACCUGUGUUGCUGAUG